rnacentral:rRNA from 1 species
GAAGCUUGGCUCUUCGCUGACGAGUGGCGCACGGGUGCGUAACGCGUAUGCAACUUACCCCAAACUGGAGAAUAGCCUUUCGAAAGGAAGAAUAAUACUCCAUAGUAUUUCAAAGAGGCAUCUCUUUGUUCUUAAAGCUUCGGCGGUUUGGGAUGGGCAUGCGUUCUAUUAGUUAGUUGGUGAGGUAACGGCUCACCAAGACCACGAUAGAUAGGGGGCCUGAGAGGGUUAUCCCCCACACUGGUACUGAGACACGGACCAGACUCCUACGGGAGGCAGCAGUGAGGAAUAUUGCACAAUGGACGAAAGUCUGAUGCAGCCAUGCCGCGUGCAGGAUGAAUGCCCUACGGGUUGUAAACUGCUUUUAUAUGGGAAGAAACGCCUCUACGUGUAGAGGUUUGACGGUACCAUAAGAAUAAGGACCGGCUAACUCCGUGCCAGCAGCCGCGGUAAUACGGAGGGUCCAAGCGUUAUCCGGAUUUAUUGGGUUUAAAGGGUCCGUAGGCGGGAAAAUAAGUCAGUGGUGAAAGCCUGCAGCUCAACUGCAGAACUGCCAUUGAAACUGUUUUUCUUGAAUAUAGAUGAAGUGGGCGGAAUAUAUCAUGUAGCGGUGAAAUGCAUAGAUAUGAUAUAGAACACCGAUUGCGAAGGCAGCUCACUAAACUAUUAUUGACGCUGAGGGACGAAAGCGUGGGGAGCGAACAGGAUUAGAUACCCUGGUAGUCCACGCUGUAAACGAUGAUCACUCGAUAUUGGCUUCUUUGUCAGUGUCCUAGCGAAAGUAUUAAGUGAUCCACCUGGGGAGUACGACGGCAACGUUGAAACUCAAAGGAAUUGACGGGGUCCCGCACAAGCGGUGGAGCAUGUGGUUUAAUUCGAUGAUACGCGAGGAACCUUACCAGGGUUUAAAUGCAGGACGAUAGAGGUGGAAACACCCCCUCCUUCGGGCGACCUGCAAGGUGCUGCAUGGUUGUCGUCAGCUCGUGCCGUGAGGUGUCGGGUUAAGUCCCAUAACGAGCGCAACCCCUAUUCCUAGUUGCCAGCGGGUAAUGCCGGGGACUCUAAGGGAACUGCCAGCGUAAGCUGUGAGGAAGGUGGGGAUGACGGCAAAUCAUCACGGCCCUUACGUCCUGGGCCACACACGUGCUACAAUGGUGGAGACAGUGAGCAGCAAACCGGCGACGGUGAGCUAAUCUUUAAACUCUAUCUCAGUUCGGAUCGGAGUCUGCAACUCGACUCCGUGAAGCUGGAAUC